rnacentral:rRNA from 1 species
GAUGAACGCUGGCGGCGUGCCUAAUACAUGCAAGUCGAGCGAACGGACGAGAAGCUUGCUUCUCUGAUGUUAGCGGCGGACGGGUGAGUAACACGUGGAUAACCUACCUAUAAGACUGGGAUAACUUCGGGAAACCGGAGCUAAUACCGGAUAAUAUUUUGAACCGCAUGGUUCAAAAGUGAAAGAUGGUCUUGCUGUCACUUAUAGAUGGAUCCGCGCUGCAUUAGCUAGUUGGUAAGGUAACGGCUUACCAAGGCAACGAUGCAUAGCCGACCUGAGAGGGUGAUCGGCCACACUGGAACUGAGACACGGUCCAGACUCCUACGGGAGGCAGCAGUAGGGAAUCUUCCGCGAUGGGCGAAAGCCUGACGGAGCAACGCCGAGUGAGUGAUGAAGGUCUUCGGAUCGUAAAACUCUGUUAUUAGGGAAGAACAUAUGUGUAAGUAACUGUGCACAUCUUGACGGUACCUAAUCAGAAAGCCACGGCUAACUACGUG